rnacentral:rRNA from 1 species
CCUACGGGAGGCAGCAGUGGGGGAUAUUGCACAAUGGGGGGAACCCUGAUGCAGCGACGCCGCGUGGGUGAAGAAGCGCCUCGGCGCGUAAAGCCCUGUCAGCAGGGAAGAAAAUGACGGUACCUGAAGAUUAAGCCCCGGCUAACUACGUGCCAGCAGCCGCGGUAAUACGUAGGGGGCAAGCGUUAUCCGGAUUGACUGGGCGUAAAGGGUGAGUAGGUGGUUUGGCAAGUUGGUAGCGUAAUCCCGGGGCGCAACCUCGGUGCUACUACCAAAACUGUUGAACUUGAGUGCAGGAGGGGUGAAUGGAAGUCGCAGUGUAGCGGUGGAAUGCGUAGAUAUUGGGAAGAACACCAGCGGCGAAGGCGAUUCACUGGACUGUAACUGACACUGAGGCACGAAAGCGUGGGGAGCAAACAGGAUUAGAUACCCUGGUAGUC